rnacentral:RNase_P_RNA from 2 species
CGAGUCGGCCGGGCGGCCGCGGCGUACGGAACGGCCCAGGGAUCUGGGCAUGCCGUCGUCGAGGAAAGUCCGGACUCCGCAGAGCAGGGUGGUUGUCAACGGCAACCCGGGGUGACCCGCGGGACAGUGCCACAGAAAACAGACCGCCGACGUCGGGUCCCGCGUGGAUCGGGCGCCGGUAAGGGUGAAACGGUGCGGUAAGAGCGCACCAGCGGCGCGGGUGACCGCGCCGGCUCGGUAAACCCCACCCGGAGCAAGGCCGAAGCUCGCAUCUCGGAGCGAUCCGGAGUGCGGGUGCGCGGGUGUUCGAGGGCUGCUCGCCCGAGCCCGCGGGUGGGCCGCUCGAGGUACCCGGCGACGGGAUACCCAGAUGGAUGGUCGCCACCCGGUCACCGACCGGGGACAGGAUCCGGCUUACACGCCGGCUCGUUCG